UAAACAGAAAUUAAUCUCCGGCCCAGAUAGGCCGGGAUUCGGCUCACCUGCGGCGCCCGUCGCCUGGACCCGGAGGAGGUGCCGGCUGUCUGGAAAACAAGGGAUGAGAAAACCGAGGGAUUUUCUGCAGGCUUGAUGUAACCCGCAGCAGGCUGUUGCAUCAAAGACUAGAAAAAGAACCCGAGACAAAAAUAAUCUUUUAAGAGCAUGCAGCUAAGAUUAGAGCAGCGUGUCAAGAUGUUGCUGAGCGCAACAGAACGAGUCCUGCCUGUACCCACACAGAAAUAAAUACUAUUUUUCUGGCACCUUGUCCACUGCAACCCUGAGUUUCCAAAUUUUAUACCAAAGUGCUGAUUAGGGGCAGCAAACCGAGUAAGGAAUGUGUCAGGGACUAUGAGAACAUUCCCAUUCCUUGUGUUUCUACGUGAAAUGCAUUUCUAGCCACACCCAUAAAGGACUUGUCUCUCCUGACAGUACACAGUGGGCACCGAUUUGCUUCCUCAAGAUUUCAUAGUGUGCAUCUGAGGACUUGGGCUGCGCGCCGUAAAGUUUCCCUCGGCAACUGCUAAAAUUAUUCAGAAGGCACUGCAGCGUGGCAGCAGCUAUCAGCUUUGGAACGCAGGCAAUCAGCGUGUACACUGGAGCACUUUUCUGGACGCGGGAAGCUCCCAGACAAAUAUUUGCAGCCCAUUUUGUGAGCACGGGACAGCAGAAGGGUUGCUUGAGGACGGUCCAAAUCCUAAUGCGUCUAUCAAAGCCAGCUUGCUGUCUGUGCCAUCACUAACCUGGUUUGCAUCUCGCUGGAGAACACGCAGAAAAAAAGAGAAGAAAAGGCAGUCUCGUGUUUCUAUUUGCAAGCUGGAUUGGUCACUCCUCAGUUAUCAGCUAGAGAGUCACAGGACCUUUUUAGGACCAUGA
rnacentral:lncRNA from 1 species